ACUCAAAGGAAUUGACGGGGGCCCGCACAAGCGGUGGAGCAUGUGGUUUAAUUCGACGCAACGCGAAGAACCUUACCCAGACUUGACAUGCAUUAGACGGGUGUGGAAACACACCUUCCCUUCGGGGCUGGUGCACAGGUGCUGCAUGGCUGUCGUCAGCUCGUGUCGUGAGAUGUUGGGUUAAGUCCCGCAACGAGCGCAACCCUUGUCCUUAGUUGCUAACGGGUCAAGCUGAGCACUCUAAGGAGACUGCCGGUGGUAAACCGGAGGAAGGUGGGGAUGACGUCAAGUCCUCAUGGCCCUUACGUCUGGGGCUACACACGUGCUACAAUGGCCGACACAAAGGGUUCCGAUACCGCGAGGUGGAGGCAAUCCCAAAAAGUCGGUCUCAGUUCGGAUUGCAGUCUGCAACUCGACUGCAUGAAGUUGGAAUCGCUAGUAAUCGCUGAUCAGCAGGCAGCGGUGAAUACGUUCCCGGGCCUUGCACACACCGCCCGU
rnacentral:rRNA from 1 species